UGUAACGUGACUUUAUCACCAGUUGCUUUUCGAAAACAUCGUAGAUCACCCGCGUUUCGGUUACUAUGCGUUUACAACCAUAAGGCAUAAGGUAUAGCAGUUAAAAUAUAUGGGGUGAUCGAAUACAUUUAGCGCUCUCGUAUUUAUAUCGAAGUCUUUAUAUCGAACAAUAUAUGCAUACAAAAGUUAAAAGUGUCAAGAGAUAUGAAACAAUCACUUCAAAACAUAUGAUACAAACGAUAAAAGGGUACUGGUAGAUUAACAAGAACAGAAUAAAAAAGUUAGCAGUUUCAUGAAAUUGCACAGAAACUGUUCUCAUCAAAAGGAACGCUC